UGUAGAUAUCAUAAAAGUUAAAACCCAUACAUCACAGCCCUACAGUGCCCUUGGCCGUUCCUAUCCAGGGCGGGUGUGGAAGCAAUCGGCGUCCCUCCUUUCUCUCUCCCUCAUUUGAAAAUCCCUUCCUUUGUUUGAUGGGGAUGUAAGGCAUGGGAUUGAAAUCUCAGACCAUCUUCUCUAAUGGAAAACCCAUCUCUCUCCUUAUAAAUAACAGGUACAUCUUCUCCUCUUCUCUUCCAAACCGUAAUUUCUCCCCAUUUCAUUCACUUCCAUUUACUUCCCUUCAAAUCCUAAAACCCUUCCAAAACCCUAGCCCUCCUCCAAACCCUAACCCUAAUUCUCUCAUCGUUGUUGACAGAAAUCCUAACCCCAAUUCUCUCGUCGCUAACAGAAAUACGGAACCCGACCCUCUCGUCGCUAACAGAAAUACGGAACCCGAUCCUCUCGUUACUAGCAGAAACCCUCACCUUAAUUCUUUCAUUACUAGCAGAAACCCUAACCUUAGUUCCACGAUAUACCUUCCACCGUCGUCUCCUGGGACCCUAGCUUCUGUCAUUUGUAAGGGGAACCCGAUUCCUAGUCCUUUUGUCCUUGACAGAAUACCUAACCCUAAUUCUUUUAUUGUUAACAGAAGCCCUAAUCUUGAUUUUGUUGUUGUUGGCAGAAACCCCUUUCGACCAUUUUCGGUCCGUUCGGCAUUGCUUUCUUCAUCGUGGUUUCUGGAAAGCCUAAGUUCUGUAAUUUCUAGUAGAAAACGUAACCCUAAUUCCCAUUUCGCGAGUUGGAACCCCAGGAAUAUGCCUAAUUUGCCUCAUUCCCUUCGCUUUCAUUAUCCGUCGUUCUCAUUCUCUUAUUCUUCCAGUACAAACCCGAAUGCUAGUUCUCGUAUCAGCAGAAGCAACCCUAGGCAAAACCAUAAUUCUCACUUGCCGAAAGUGAAUUCAGACGAAUUUAUGGAAAUUAUCGCGUUGGUUGAAAGAGGAGGAGAUGAUAUGGAACUGAAGCUGAAUCAGAUGAAUCCAAGGCUUUCUGUUACUUCUGUCAGCAAGAUUCUUAAUUUAUUGAAUGAUCGUGGUGUUUCAGCCCUGUGUUUCUUUAACUGGGUUCAGAAAAACUGCUCAGAUUUUAACCCAAAUUCGGAGAUUUACAAUCAGGUUAUUAAUAAUACUGGCCUUUUGGAAGACUAUGAAUCGAUGCUUGUUCUUCUAACGGAGCUGUCAUUGAAGCGGCAUUGUCUAACAGAAAAGGCAUUUGGGUUCCUGAAGGUGUUUAGUUAUGAUCAGGUUCGAAUUGGGAAUUCUGUUGAAAGAAUCGUGGAGAUAUUGAAUAGGGUCAAAGGGUCUUGUCAUAAUUCUGGAAUCUAUGCUUUGAUUAAGACGCUCUGUGCUCUGAAUUCCUUCAAUCUUGCCAUUUUUGUGAUGGAGGAGACAGCAAGAAAGAGAUCUUAUUACCAUGUCCUGAUUGCAGCAAAGUGUCGGAGUGGUGAUUUUCAAGAAGCCCGGGAUCUGUUCGAUGAAAUGAAGAGAUUUGGGUGCGACCCGAAUACAAAAUCCUAUAAUUACUUGCUUGGUAGUCUGUGCAAGAAAGAAAAGAUUGCUGAAGCUUGUGAAUUGCUUGAAAUAAUGGAAAAUUUGGGUUACCUUCCAGAUUCUGUAACCUUUGAAGUUAUUGCAUUUCAUGCAUGUAGGCUCGGGAGGAUGGAUGCUGCAAUCGAGUUCCUCUAUCAGAUGAUGUCUGAAGGACUUGAACCUCGGAUCACAACACAUUCAGCCUUCAUUAAGGGCUACUUUUGGUCCGGGCAGAUCCAGGAUGCUCAUAAAUAUGUUGUUGAAAUGUGUGGCAAGGAUAAGCACUCAAGCAAUAUGAAUUACACCUUGCUGGCGAGCCUUUUUCAGAAGUCAGGGAGGGUAGUCGAAGCGAGAGAGAUCCUUGUGGAGAUGAUUGAGAAGGGACUCAAGCCCAACUUCCCUGUUUACAUGAGAGUAGUGAAGGAUCUUUACAAGAUGGGAAAGGGGGGUUUGAUUGCAGAUUUGAAGUGCAGAUAUUUGAAAUUCCAUCCAAUUACAGAUAAUAGAUGACAUUUCUGUUGGACUUGAAUUUGUAACAAUUUGUAGCGCGACGUAUAACACUGCAGAGCAGACAUUGUUUUGUUUCGGCAUCAGCUAGAGAAGAAACUCCACCUCAACCAAUGGUAAUUUAUUUUGCUAAAGCUGUACUGGUCAAAAAAUCAUCUAAAGACUCUAUCAAUAAGUAAUUAUACUUCAUGGAAUUCUAAACUGUUUCUGAUACAUUGAUGUUUCUGUUUGGGGCAUUUCUACUUGUGGUUUGAUCACAGGGUUUAUUUGGUGAUUAUUUUCAAUUGGCAAAAGCACUUACGGUUUACGGUUGGCAUUAUGAAUGAAACUAGUUUCCCGGUUUGAGGAAGACGGCAUGUGCUAUUAACUGGUGGGAUACCUGUUGAGUUGGAGAUGGAAAGGUGAUAAAAUAGACGCCUACCAAAUGUAGUUCCAAUGCCCAUCUGCUCCAGACACAAGUGGUUGAUGGGAGCAUUUCCGAGGACUUAAAGAGGGACUUUUUAUGGAUUUAAGCUCACUGUUAUGGCGAACAUUGUCUAGUGUAUGUGACUGACUAUGGAAAGCCUGGACUUUGUAUGGUGCGAUGAUCUUGAUCGUGUAAUAUCUUUGUACUCCGAACUCUGUUCUGGAUGAAUGACCAUUCAUUUUAAUUGUCUCGAUGAGAGACGAGA